rnacentral:rRNA from 1 species
CAGCCGCCGCGGGAAUACGGAGGAUCCAAGCGUUAUCCGGAAUCAUUGGGUUUAAAGGGUCCGUAGGCGGUCUUGUAAGUCAGUGGUGAAAGCCAAUCGCUCAACGGUGGAACGGCCAUUGAUACUGCAGGACUUGAAUUAUUGGGAAGUAACUAGAAUAUGUAGUGUAGCGGUGAAAUGCAUAGAUAUUACUUAGAACACCAAUUGCGAAGGCAGGUUACCAAGAUAUAACUGACGCUGAGGGACGAAAGCGUGGGUAGCGAACAGGAUUAGAUACCCCAGUAGUCCCUGUCUCUUAUAA